rnacentral:rRNA from 1 species
CAGAGGUCUCAACCGUUGUUCGGAUUCAUUGGGCGUAAAGGGUGCGUAGGCGGCGGAGUAAGUCAGGUGUGAAAUCUCGGGGCUCAACCCCGAAACUGCACUUGAUACUGCUUCGCUCGAGUACUGGAGAGGAGACUGGAAUUUACGGUGUAGCAGUGAAAUGCGUAGAUAUCGUAAGGAAGACCAGUGGCGAAGGCGAGUCUCUGGACAGUUACUGACGCUGAGGCACGAAGGCCAGGGGAGCAAACGGGAUUAGAUACCCCGGUAGUCCUGGCAGUAAACGGUGCACGUUUGGUGUGGGAGGAUUCGACCCCUUCCGUGCCGGAGCUAACGCGUUAAACGUGCUGCCUGGGAAGUACGGUCGCAAGAUUA